rnacentral:rRNA from 1 species
GGGGAAUUGUUCGCAAUGGGCGCAAGCCUGACGACGCAACGCCGCGUGGAGGAUGAAGAUCUUCGGGUCGUAAACUCCUGUCGAGCGGGACGAAUGCCUUGCCGGUGAAUAUCCGGCGAGGGUGACGGUACCGCUAAAGGAAGCCCCGGCUAACUCCGUGCCAGCAGCCGCGGUAAUACGGGGGGGGCAAGCGUUGUUCGGAAUUACUGGGCGUAAAGGGCUCGUAGGCGGCCAACUAAGUCAUACGUGAAAUCCCUCAGCUUAACUGGGGAACUGCGUGUGAUACUGGAUGGCUUGGAUUUGGGAGAGGGAUGCGGAAUUCCAGGUGUAGCGGUGAAAUGCGUAGAUAUCUGGAGGAACACCGGUGGCGAAGGCGGCAUCCUGGACCAAUAUUGACGCUGAGGAGCGAAAGCCAGGGGAGCAA